rnacentral:rRNA from 1 species
AGAGUUUGAUCCUGGCUCAGGACGAACGCUGGCGGCGUGCCUAAUACAUGCAAGUCGAACGCUUCUUUUUCCACCGGAGCUUGCUCCACCGGAAAAAGAGGAGUGGCGAACGGGUGAGUAACACGUGGGUAACCUGCCCAUCAGAAGGGGAUAACACUUGGAAACAGGUGCUAAUACCGUAUAACAAUCGAAACCGCAUGGUUUUGAUUUGAAAGGCGCUUUCGGGUGUCGCUGAUGGAUGGACCCGCGGUGCAUUAGCUAGUUGGUGAGGUAGCGGCUCACCAAGGCCACGAUGCAUAGCCGACCUGAGAGGGUGAUCGGCCACAUUGGGACUGAGACACGGCCCAAACUCCUACGGGAGGCAGCAGUAGGGAAUCUUCGGCAAUGGACGAAAGUCUGACCGAGCAACGCCGCGUGAGUGAAGAAGGUUUUCGGAUCGUAAAACUCUGUUGUUAGAGAAGAACAAGGAUGAGAGUAACUGUUCAUCCCUUGACGGUAUCUAACCAGAAAGCCACGGCUAACUACGUGCCAGCAGCCGCGGUAAUACGUAGGUGGCAAGCGUUGUCCGGAUUUAUUGGGCGUAAAGCGAGCGCAGGCGGUUUCUUAAGUCUGAUGUGAAAGCCCCCGGCUCAACCGGGGAGGGUCAUUGGAAACUGGGAGACUUGAGUGCAGAAGAGGAGAGUGGAAUUCCAUGUGUAGCGGUGAAAUGCGUAGAUAUAUGGAGGAACACCAGUGGCGAAGGCGGCUCUCUGGUCUGUAACUGACGCUGAGGCUCGAAAGCGUGGGGAGCAAACAGGAUUAGAUACCCUGGUAGUCCACGCCGUAAACGAUGAGUGCUAAGUGUUGGAGGGUUUCCGCCCUUCAGUGCUGCAGCUAACGCAUUAAGCACUCCGCCUGGGGAGUACGACCGCAAGGUUGAAACUCAAAGGAAUUGACGGGGGCCCGCACAAGCGGUGGAGCAUGUGGUUUAAUUCGAAGCAACGCGAAGAACCUUACCAGGUCUUGACAUCCUUUGACCACUCUAGAGAUAGAGCUUCCCCUUCGGGGGCAAAGUGACAGGUGGUGCAUGGUUGUCGUCAGCUCGUGUCGUGAGAUGUUGGGUUAAGUCCCGCAACGAGCGCAACCCUUAUUGUUAGUUGCCAUCAUUCAGUUGGGCACUCUAGCAAGACUGCCGGUGACAAACCGGAGGAAGGUGGGGAUGACGUCAAAUCAUCAUGCCCCUUAUGACCUGGGCUACACACGUGCUACAAUGGGAAGUACAACGAGUCGCGAAGUCGCGAGGCUAAGCUAAUCUCUUAAAGCUUCUCUCAGUUCGGAUUGCAGGCUGCAACUCGCCUGCAUGAAGCCGGAAUCGCUAGUAAUCGCGGAUCAGCACGCCGCGGUGAAUACGUUCCCGGGCCUUGUACACACCGCCCGUCACACCACGAGAGUUUGUAACACCCGAAGUCGGUGAGGUAACCUUUUUGGAGCCAGCCGCCUAAGGUGGGAUAGAUGAUUGGGGUGAAGUCGUAACAAGGUAGCCGUAUCGGAAGGUGCGGCUGGAUCACCU